UCCAGGAGAUUGAACCAGUUAAUAACAGUGUUCUCUGUCCUCCAGGAGAAGGAACCACAGUGUUCUCUGUCCUCCAGGAGAAUGAACCGCAGUGUUCCCUGUCCUCCAGGAGAAUGAACCAGUUAAUAACAGUGUUCUCUGUCCUCCAGGAGAAUGAAUCAGUUAAUAACAGUGUUCUGUCCUCCAGGAGAAUGAACCAGUUAAUAGCAGUGUUCUGUCCUCCAGGAGAAUGAACCAGUUAAUAACAGUGUUCUGUCCUCCAGGAGAAUGAACCAGUUAAUAAUAGUGUUCUCUGUCCUCCAGGAGAAUGAACCACAGUGUUCUCUGUCCUCCAGGAGAAUGAACCAGUUAAUAUCAGUGUUCUGUCCUCCAGGAGAAUGAACCAGUUAAUAACAGUGUUCUCUGUCCUCUAGGAGAAUGAACCAGUUAAUAAUAGUGUUCUCUGUCCUCCAGGAGAAUGAACCACAGUGUUCUCUGUCCUCCAGGAGAAUGAACCAGUUAAUAGCAGUGUUCUGUCCUCCAGGAGAAUGAACCAGUUAAUAACAGUGUUCUCUGUCCUCUAGGAGAAUGAACCAGUUAAUAAUAGUGUUAUCUGUCCUCCAGGAGAAUGACCCAGUUAAUAACAGCGUUCUCUGUCCUCCAGGAGAAUGAACCACAGUGUUCUCUGUCCUCCAGGAGAAUGAACCAGUUAAUAACAGUGUUCUCUGUCCUCCAGGAGAAUGAACCACAGUGUUCUCUGUCCUCCAGGAGAAUGAACCAGUUAAUAAUAGUGUUCUCUGUCCUCCAGGAGAAUGAACCACAGUGUUCUCUGUCCUCCAGGAGAAUGAACCAGUUAAUAACAGUGUUCUCUGUCCUCCAGGAGAAUGAAUCACAGUGUUCUCUGUCCUCCAGGAGAAUGAACCAGUUAAUAGCAGUGUUCUGUCCUCCAGGAGAAUGAACCAGUUAAUAGCAGUGUUCUCUGUCCUCCAGGAGAAUGAACCACAGUGUUCUCUGUCCUCCAGGAGAAUGAACCAGUUAAUAACAGUGUUCUCUGUCCUCCAGGAGAAUGAACCAAUUUAACAAUGAUCAGCCGUUAUUCUCUGCAUUAUGGUAAUGAUAUUAGAGGUACAUCGCUCAUGGUGAUAAGACCCACAGUCAACUUUUCCUUCUAAUCAGAGACGGAUUUACACCUGGACAGCUGGACAAUCACUAAGUAGAGAAACUAACAACAAAAACACAUGGCCUUCCAGGAUCUGCCUGCAUAAUGUUAUGGUGACGCUAGAGAGAAUACGGUUGUAUUUAGUCUAAUGUUACUCAGAGAGAAUCACAAGCUAUGGUAAUGUCCAUCUUUGAGAAUUGUGUAACAGAUCUAGGGGCUUUGAGGUGUUUCAGGAGAUGUGCAUAACUCUACAUAAAUGAAAGGGAGAGCAGGGAGGGAAAGCGGUGUUCUUCAGAGGGUGAAGGGGGCAUAAGAUGGAGCCCACCUCACCUGGAAUGAACUACCUUUUUCAGGGCAUUCACUGGAACAUAGUGUGUGUUUGAGAGCGCUCAGAGACGCACAUUAUUCACAGAAUAAAGAGGGAGUUUUGCUGUUUUUGCCUCUCUCUGUAUCUCUCUGUUUAUCUCUCUCUGUUUGUCUGUCUCACCCCCCCCCCUCCCUCCUCCUCCUAGAAGUGUUGGUUGAUAGAGACAGCAGAUCAGGAGCUGACUGACUUCACUAAAUGUCUGGCCAUCAUGGUGGAGGAGAUCAAAAGACAACCGCUUCAGAACACUCUCAGGGAGAAGAGCUAAUGAAAGAGAGGGGAUGGCGAGAGGCAGAGCAGCAGAGCUAUAUUGAAGAGAGGUGGAUACUAUAGUGACCCUGGGUGGUCUGGCUGACAGGAAGGUUUGACCAGACCAUGGCUUCAGUAGAGACUGUACCACGCCCAUGACACAACUACCUCUGGUGUUUCUACAGGGAUGCAGUCUGGCCUACCUGCUACGGCUGCCCGAUCCAUUCCCAAACUUGAAGCCCUCUGUCCCCAGCAGGAAAACCCCAGGAAAAAGUGUUGGCUUAAGGUACAACAUCCUAUUGAGGACAUUUUAAGAUAAAUUAAGUUUGUAUUUAGAUGUAGAGUUAAUGAAUAGAAGCAUAUACAAGCAAUCAGUUACAUGUCAAUUACAGUCAUAUGGAAACGCUUGGGCUCCCCUCUGAGGCUGCAUAAUAUUUCUGUCGUCACAGAAAAUGAUCACAGUGGCAUGCCAUUCAUUUUCCAAUAAAAGCUGAGUACUGGGGUAUUGUCCAGAAUUUUUUUUUAGUGUAGCAAUAUUAAGUUGUAUGAAAUUAAAUCAGAUGUGAAAAAUAGGCUCUGCAAAAAUGUGGGCACCCUUGUCAUUCUGCUGAUUUGAAUACCUGUAACUACUAAGCACUGAUUAAUUGGAUCACACAAUUGCUUUGGUGAGCUCAUUAAGCCUUCAACUUCAUAGACAAGUGCAUCCAAUCAUGAGAAAAGGUAUUUAAGGUGGACAAUUGCAAGUUGUUGUUCUCUUUGACUCUCCUCUGAAGAGUGGCAACAUGGGGGGCCUCAAAACAACUCUCAAAUGACCUGAAAACAGAGAUUGUUCAACAUUAUGGUUUAGAGGAAGGCUACAAAAAGCUAUCGAAGAGAUUUAAACUGUCAGUGUCCACUGUGAGGAACAUAGUGAGGAAAUGGAAGACCACAGGCACAGUUCUUGUUAAGGCCAGAAGUGGCAGGCCAAGUAAAAUAUCAGAGAGGCAAAGACGAAGGAUGGUGAGAACGGUCAAAAUCAGCCAACAGACCACCUCUAAAGACCUACAACAUCAUCUUGCUGCAGACGGUGUCACUGUGCAUCGUUCAACAAUUCAGCGCACUUUGCACAAGGAGAAGCUGUAUGGGAGAGUGAUGCGGAAGAAGCCUUUUCUGCACACACGCCACAAACAGAGUCGCUUGAGGUAUGCAAACACACAUUUGGACAAGCCAGCUUCCUUUUGGAAUAAGUUGCUGUGGACUGAUGAAACAAUUAUUGAGUUACUUGGUCAUAACAAGGGACGUUAUGCAUGGCGGUAAAAGAACACAGCGUUCCAAGAAAAACACUUGCUACCCACAGUAAAAUGGGGGUUCCAUCAUGCUGUGGGGCUGUGUGGCCAGUGCCGGUACUGGGAAUCUUGUUCAAGUUGAGGGUCGCAUGGAUUCCACUCAAUAUCAGCAGAUUCUUGGGAAUAAUGUUGAAGAAUGAGUCACAAAGUGGAAGAUACACCGGGGCUGGAUAUUUCAACAAGACGACAACCCAAAACACUGCUCAAAAUCUACCCGGGCAUUUAUGCAGAGGAACAAGUACAAUGUUCUGGAAUGGCCAUUUCAGUCCCCAGACCUGAAUAUCAUUGAGAAUCUGUGGGAUGAUCUGAAGCGGGCUUGUCCAUGCUCGGCAACCAUCAAACCGAACUGAACUGGAGAUGUUUUGUGAGGAAGAAGGGUCCAUAAUACCUUCAUCCAGAAUCCAGACACUCAUUAGAGGCUAUGGGAAGUGUCUAGAGGCUGUUAUUUUAGCAAAAGGAGGCUCUACUAAAUAUUGAUGUGGUUUUUCUAUUGGGGUGCCCAAAUUUAUGCACCUGUCUAAUUUUGUUUUGAUGCAUAUUGCACAUUUUCUGUUAAUCCAAUAAACCUCAUUUCACUACU